UGGGGAAUAUUGGGCAAUGGGCGCAAGCCUGACCCAGCCACGCCGCGUGAGUGAUGAAGGCCCUCGGGUCGUAAAGCUCUGUGGAGAGGGACGAAGAAGGCGUCGCGAAUAGCGGUCGUCGGUGACGGUACCUCUUUAGCAAGCACCGGCUAACUCCGUGCCAGCAGCCGCGGUAAUACGGAGGGUGCAAACGUUGCUCGGAAUCAUUGGGCGUAAAGCGAGCGUAGGCGGCUUUGCAAGUCGGACGUGAAAGCCCUCGGCUCAACCGAGGAAGUGCGUUCGAAACUGCAUCGCUCGAGUCCCGGAGAGGGUGACGGAAUUCCCGGUGUAGAGGUGAAAUUCGUAGAUAUCGGGAGGAACAUCAGUGGCGAAGGCGGUCACCUGGACGGGUACUGACGCUGAGGCUCGAAAGCGUGGGGAGCAAACAGGAUUAGAUACCCCCGUAGUCC
rnacentral:rRNA from 1 species